AUGAAGCAAAAGAUUGUCAUCCAAUUGAGCAUGUCGUGCGACAAACGCCGGUCGAAAGCACUGACGCUGGCCUCCAGAGCAGCCGGGGUGACGUCGAUGGGCAUAACCGGCGACGCCAGGGACCAGCUGGAGGUGGUCGGUGACGGCGUCGACCCGGUGUGCCUCGUCAGCUGCCUCCGCAAGAAACUCGGCCACGCCCACAUCAUCAAGGUAGAGGAAGUGAAGAAGCCGGAGGAGAAGAAGAAGCCGGUGAACCCCCCGCAGUACUACUACUCGCCGGCGCCGGCCGGCUACUACCACCACCAAUACCCGCCGCACAUGGUCGUCUGCGAGGAACAGCCUAGCAACUGCCGGACCAUGUAA
rnacentral:rRNA from 1 species